rnacentral:rRNA from 3 species
GGUCAUUUAGAGGAAGUAAAAGUCGUAACAAGGUCUCCGUUGGUGAACCAGCGGAGGGAUCAU